rnacentral:lncRNA from 1 species
ACUUGAAACUCCUACAACGGGCUAUAACGAAAUAAUGGAUAUAACGAGCAAAUCGUAAUUCCCCUUGAAAGUCCCCAUAGAAACCAAUGUAUUGAAAACCUCGUUUUAGCGAGGUAAAAUUUGCCUGUUAUGGGAUAUAACGAACAAAUUUUGUUAGGAAAUAAAAUUUUGAGCCGAUGUCACGACAGUGCACAACGCGAAUUUGAGAUGGUGCGCAACGCGACAACUAUUUAGCAGUUCAAAACUCCCGCCACGCAUCCUCCAGCAAGGCACACAAAGCUGACUGCGCGCCAUGCGCACGCUGUUUCUGGAGGAGAGGGCGUUGCACGUGCGCCGCUUGGCUACCGCCGACAGCCGAGGAGCCGAGGACUCGGCAACUCCGCGAACAUCUCGCCCUUUUCUUUUCUGUCUUCUUUAUAUUCCCCCUCUCUCCUUCCUCAUGGCGCUGAGUCGUGCUCCCUAAAGGGCUGCAGAAAAGAGCGCCCCUUCC